UUAGGUUGCUGUUUAUUGGUCAGAACCGAUGAAAACUUGUCAAUCAAGGAAUGUAAGGCAAUGAUGCUGGGGCUUUAAAUGUAUCGUAUUGAUGCGCGUACCAUAACCGUGCAUCGUAUGUUAAGACUAUAGGUUAUAAACCUAAAUGGGGUUUUGUAGACGAUCCGCGUCGUGUGCGAUCGAUUUGAUUUCAUAGUAGGCCCACUAGACUAGAUUCCUCUUAUGUCACUCCCUCAAAAAUGUGGCACGGAUUUUACAGUCGGAGGAUGACAGAUUACUCAAGGAGUGGCUAUGUGAACAUGUGUCAGCGAUGACCGAAGUUGAAGCAACGUAUGCAGACUUCAUAGCCUCCGGUAGAACUGGACGAAGGAAUGCCCUGCAUGAUAUCCUCCAAAGCCCCACUGACUCAGACUCCAGGGAUCUCCCCCUGAGCCUAUCUCAACUCAACAUCAACCCAACCGGAGCUGACAUGGAAGAAAGUCAGGAAUCCUCCACAAACGCUCUGCCAAAGUCAGGGCAGAAGAAUUGGGGAAACAGUUAACUUUCAGGCCUGAACACUGAGUCGGGCCUGCACUCACCACCACAAAGUCUCACAGAGUAAAACAAACGGUGUAGUUUGUUAUGACAGAAAAACUGUAGAGUCAACGGGAAA